rnacentral:rRNA from 1 species
AUCCGGAAUUAUUGGGCGUAAAGCGUCCGCAGGCGGCUUUUCAAGUCUGCUGUUAAAGCGUGGAGCUUAACUCCAUCAUGGCAGUGGAAACUGAAAGGCUUGAGUAUGGUAGGGGCAGAGGGAAUUCCCGGUGUAGCGGUGAAAUGCGUAGAUAUCGGGAAGAACACCAGUGGCGAAGGCGCUCUGCUGGGCCAUUACUGACGCUCAUGGACGAAAGCCAGGGGAGCGAAAGGGAUUAGAUACCCCUGUAGUCCUGGCCGUAAACGAUGAACACUAGGUGUCGGGGGAAUCGACCCCUUCGGUGUCGUAGCUAACGCGUUAAGUGUUCCGCCUGGGGAGUACGCACGCAAGUGUGAAACUCAAAGGAAUUGACGGGGGCCCGCACAAGCGGUGGAGUAUGUGGUUUAAUUCGAUGCAACGCGAAGAACCUUACCAGGGUUUGACAUCCUGCGAACCUCUUAGAAAUUUGAGGGUGCCUUCGGGAAUGCAGUGACAGGUGGUGCAUGGCUGUCGUCAGCUCGUGUCGUGAGAUGUUGGGUUAAGUCCCGCAACGAGCGCAACCCACGUUUUUAGUUGCCAGCAUUUAGUUGGGCACUCUAGAAAGACCGCCGGUGAUAAACCGGAGGAAGGUGUGGAUGACGUCAAGUCAUCAUGCCCCUUACACCCUGGGCUACACACGUACUACAAUGCUACGGACAAAGGGCAGCAAACUCGCGAGAGCUAGCAAAUCCCAUAAACCGUGGCUCAGUUCAGAUCGUAGGCUGCAACUCGCCUACGUGAAGUAGGAAUCGCUAGUAAUCGCAGGUCAGCAUACUGCGGUGAAUACGUUCCCGGGCCUUGUACACACCGCCCGUCACACCAUGGAAGUUGGCCAUGCCCGAAGUCGUUACUCCAACCCUUGUGGAGGAGGACGCCGAAGGUGGGGCUAAUGACUGGGGUGAAGUCGUAACAAGGUAACCGUA